AAAAAAUCCCACCUUUUUAUAUACCACUCAUUCCCCCUUCUUCCGUAUUUUCUACUCCAACCCCAUAAAUUUCUCCUUUUCCGCACUUUCCCUCUGUUUCCCAAGAAAAACUAGAGAAAACCCAAUUCAAGAACAAGAAGAAAACUCGAUUUCCAGGUAGAAAUGAGAGAAAUCCUCCACAUCCAAGGUGGCCAAUGCGGUAACCAGAUCGGAGCUAAGUUCUGGGAGGUGAUUUGCGACGAGCAUGGCAUUGACAACAUUGGAAAGUACAGCGGCGACUCUGAACUUCAGCUUGAGCGUAUCAAUGUUUAUUAUAACGAGGCCAGUGGUGGCAGAUACGUGCC
rnacentral:misc_RNA from 1 species